GGUAAAAAAGCUCGUAGUUGGAUUUCUGUUGAGGGCGACCGGUCCAUACAACGUAUGCGUAUCUGGCUCGGCCUCGGCAUCCUCUCGAUAGACGUUUCUGCGCUUGAUUGCGUGGAGCGGAUCUCGGGACUUUUACUUUGAGGAAAUUAGAGUGUUCACGGCAGGCUAUCGCCAGAAUACAUUAGCAUGGAAUAAUACUAUAGGAUCUUGAUUCUAUUUUGUUGGUUUCUAGAAUUGAGAUAAUGAUUAAUAGGGACAAUUGGGGGCAUUCGUAUCAACACGUCAGAGGUGGAAUUCUUGGAUUGUGUUGCGACGAACUACUGCGAAAGCAUUUGCCAAGGAUGUUUUCAUUGAUCAAGAACGAAAGUAAGGGGAUCGAAGACGAUUAGAUACCGUCGUAGUCUUUACCAUAAACUAUGCCAACUAGAGAUGGGGCAUCGUUCACUUACGACUUGCUCCGCACCUUAUGAGAUAUCAAAGUCUUUGGGUUCCGGGGGGAGUAUGGUCGCAAGGCUGAAACUUAAAGGAAUUGACGGAAGGGCACCACCAGGAGUGGAGCCUGCGGCUUAAUUUGACUCAACACGGGGAAACUCACCAGGUCCAGACAUAAUAAGGAUUGACAGAUUGAUAGCUCUUUCUUGAUUUUAUGGGUGGUGGUGCAUGGCCGUUCUUAGUUCGUGGAGUGAUUCGUCUGCUUAAUUGCGUUAACGA
rnacentral:rRNA from 1 species